rnacentral:rRNA from 1 species
CGGAUUUAGCUAGUUGGUGGGGUAAUAGGCUCACCAAGGCGACGAUCCGUAACUGGUCUGAGAGGAUGAUUCAGUCACACUGGAACUGAGACACGGUCCAGACUCCUACGGGAGGCAGCAGUGGGGAAUAUUGGACAAUGGGCGAAAGCCUUAUCCAGCCAUGCCGCGUGUGUGAAGAAGGUCUUCGGAUUGUAAAGCACUUUAAGUUGGGAGGAAGGGCAGUAAAUUAAUACUUUGCUUUUUUGACGUUACCGACAGAAUAAGCACCGGUUAACUCUGUGCCAGCAGCCGCGGUAAUACAGAGGGUGCAAGCGUUAA